GGGUCAGUAGGUUGGUCGUGCCACCGGUACGUACUGGUCUCACUGAUUCCUCCUUCCUGAAGAACCGUAAUGCCAUUAGUUUGGUGUUGCGGGGAAACAGGACUGUUACUUUGAAAAAAUUAGAGUGUUUAAAGCAAGCUAACGCUUGAAUACAUUAGCAUGGAAUAGUGAAAUAGGACGAUCGAUCCUAUUUUGUUGGUUUCUAGGAUUGACGUA
rnacentral:rRNA from 1 species